CGGCGGGCUGCUACACAAUGUUUCCCUUCAGUCGGGAGGGGAAAUGGAGGGAGGCCAGACUUCCUGAUCACAUGAUGCUGAAGUCAAUGAAAAAAAAUGAAGGGGGACCCCUCCCAUGCGCUGGGGUGCGCGGGCCAGGGCCCCCCACCCACCCCCUCGGGCCGCGCGGCCGGGGAAGCGCAGGCUCGCGGGCGGGCGCGGGGCCAGGCGCAGGACGGGGCAAACAUAAACACCAGAUCGGUGCAGUAAUUGGCGGCUCCGAGAUCGCUGAGGAAAUGAGAGGCUUGUACGAAACAUCAGCCGACAAGAAACGGGGUGAUGUCAGACAGCCUUCCAGGAUUAGAAACCCUUAAAAGCUCCGAGCCCGCGGCGGCUGCGGAAAAGCGCGCUCCUCUCUGGCUCUCCGGGGCCUUCACAUAUGCAGUGUGCUAUGCAGCAGGUAGGGAGAUGCCCACAGUCAGGGGCUUCCCCACAAGAGGUACAUGGCUACCUGACAUAGAUGAGGAACCUCUGGACUGCAUUUCUAACCACACCUAGUAGCGGAGCACGUGACUGGACCUUCAUGGAAUAUCUGAUGGUCUUGUUGGGCUUGGUUUCCUGAUCAGCUAAUGAUAGUUAUGCAGCAUACACUUCCAGUCUUGGACAUUAUUAUUAAGUCUGGUGGGUGGUGGAAAUAAUGUGCUAAGUCAUAUUAAUAAAUAACAAUGAGAAUGUGAGCUGUAGCCUCUAACAGGUCACCAGUUACAUGAUAGGCCAUAGGUCAAAUAUCAAAAUGUGACUAUGUGGCUACCUAGAGGAACACCACAUGGGCAAGAGGUGAGUUUGCCAGAGGUUCCUGAGUACUUUAAAAACCCUCCUCACUGUUUCCC
rnacentral:lncRNA from 1 species